UACGUAGGUGGCAAGCGUUGUCCGGAUUUACUGGGCGUAAAGAGCGCGCAGGCGGUCGUUCAAGUCGCGUGUGAAAGCCCCCGGCUCAACUGGGGAGGGUCACGCGAUACUGAUCGACUGGAAGGCAGGAGAGGGUAGUGGAAUUCCCGGUGUAGUGGUGAAAUGCGUAGAUAUCGGGAGGAACACCAGUGGCGAAGGCGGUUGCCUGGAGCUUUGCUGACGCUGAGGCGCGAAAGCGUGGGGAGCAAACAGG
rnacentral:rRNA from 1 species